CAAAUUAUAAUCCUAGGGGUAAUAUUAUUUACAAUAAUACUUUUGUUGUGCAAUUCAACAUAAUUUGA
rnacentral:tRNA from 1 species